rnacentral:rRNA from 1 species
UACGGAGGGUGCAAGCGUUGCUCGGAAUUACUGGGCGUAAAGCGCACGUAGGCGGCAGGGUAAGUCAGUUGUGAAAGCCCUGGGCUCAACCCAGGAUGUGCAGCUGAUACUGCCAAAGCUUGAGUACGGAAGAGGGGAGCGGAAUUCCCAGUGUAGAGGUGAAAUUCGUAGAUAUUGGGAGGAACACCGGUGGCGAAGGCGGCUCCCUGGUCCGAUACUGACGCUCAUGUGCGAAAGCGUGGGGAGCAAACAGG